GUAGAGAAAUUCUCAGUAUCCAUGAAUGUUACACAGUCACAUAGUGUGCUUCAGUUUUGUAGCAGAAGAGAGAGAUUGUUAUCAUCUUUACAUCUCCUGCCUCUCACUUUGAAGCUGAAGUGAUCUGCAAGGCUCUGGAGGUUCCCAUAAGGCUUUGUUGGCUUUGGAGUUUUUACAUAUAGAGCACUAAAUGGCAUCAUGGUCUUAGUGUUUCUGGGAGAGGGACAAUUUGGAAUUCUAAGCAAACAAGUUUGCUGGCAUGCUUAAAAUUUCUGAUCUCAAGUCUUAGAAGGCAUAAGAGAUACCAUUAAAGGCUGAAGCCCUUCCUAG
rnacentral:lncRNA from 1 species